ensembl:ncRNA K08H10.15 ncRNA
UGAUCUCUUAGCGUUCUCUUAUUCAAAUAAACAAAGAGAAACAGAAAACAACAUCAAAAAAGAGAGUUGAGAAGCUCAAAGACGACUAGCGCACCAAUGAUCAUGUUUUUGUUGACACCGUCUCACUUAGAUGUCUGCGUCUCUAAGUUGUCUCUUGUGGGAAACCCCCCUUCUCGCCUGUUGACAAGGGGCGGGCACGUGAAGGCCUUCAGAUUGGGGGUAGAAUUUUCCUGAAUCCACAUUUUUUAUCAUAUGAGCUGUGAUCGAGGUCGUCGGACAAUGUGACUAGUAUAUAAA